ACGGCUCAGUAACACGUGGAUAACCUGCCCUUGGGUCUGGGAUAACCCCGGGAAACUGGGGAUAAUAUCGGAUAACGCAUAUGUGCUGGAAUGCUUUAUGCGUAAAAUGGAUUCGUCCGCCCAAGGAUGGGUCUGCGGCCUAUCAGGUAGUAGUGGGUGUAAUGUACCUACUAGCCAGCGACGGGUACGGGUUGUGAGAGCAAGAGCCCGGAGAUGGAUUCUGAGACAUGAAUCCAGGCCCUACGGGGCGCAGCAGGCGCGAAAACUUUACAAUGCUGGCAACAGCGAUAAGGGAACCUCGAGUGCCAGGUUACAAAUCUGGCUGUCGAGAUGCCUAAAAAGCAUUUCAUAGCAAGGGCCGGGCAAGACCGGUGCCAGCCGCCGCGGUAACACCGGCGGCUCGAGUGGUAACCGUUAUUAUUGGGUCUAAAGGGUCCGUAGCCGGUUUGGUCAGUCCUCCGGGAAAUCUGAUAGCUUAACUGUUAGGCUUUCGGGGGAUACUGCCAGGCUUGGAACCGGGAGAGGUAAGAGGUACUACAGGGGUAGGAGUGAAAUCUUGUAAUCCCUGUGAGACCACCUGUGGCGAAGGCGUCUUACCAGAACGGGUUCGACGGUGAGGGACGAAAGCUGGGGGCACGAACCGGAUUAGAUACCCGGGUAGUCCCAGCCGUAAACUAUGCUCGCUAGGUGUCAGGCAUGGCGCGACCGUGUCUGGUGCCGCAGGGAAGCCGUGACGCGAGCCACCUGGGAAGUACGGCCGCAAGGCUGAAACUUAAAGGAAUUGGCGGGGGAGCAC
rnacentral:rRNA from 1 species